rnacentral:sRNA from 2 species
UCUAUAGUUUUCUAGGGUUCCGCUAUAAUAAUAGGUCUGGUCCAAGAGAAAACAUACAAUGAUUACAUUGUACACACGGACGGAUAAAAGCCUAGGAGAU